rnacentral:rRNA from 1 species
AGCGAACGCUGGCGGCGUGCCUAACACAUGCAAGUCGAACGUGAAAGGGAGCAAUCCCAAGUAAAGUGGCGUACGGGUGAGUAACACGUAGGUAAUCUACCCCAGAAUCUGGAAUAACCGGCCGAAAGGCUGGCUAAUACUGGAUAGAGCGACGGAAUCCGUAAUUGGGUUUUUCGGGAAAGGGAGCCUGUAAAAAGGCCUUCGUUCUGGGAUGAGCCUGCGUCCCAUCAGCUAGUUGGUGAGGUAAAAGCUUACCAAGGCAAUGACGGGUAGCUGGUCUGAGAGGACGAUCAGCCACACUGGAACUGAAACACAGUCCAGACUCCUACGGGAGGCAGCAGUGGGGAAUCUUGCGCAAUGGACGAAAGUCUGACGCAGCAACGCCGCGGGAGUGAAGAAGGCCUUCGGGUUGUAAAGCUCUGUCGAGUGGGACGAAAAUGCUUGGAGUUCACAGCUCCAGGAACUGACGGUACCACUAAAGGAAGCACCGGCUAACUCCGUG